CACAGACACAUAAAUGCCUAUGCACAAUGUGUACAAAUGCAGGUUUGUGGUGAUAUGUUUGAAGCAAAAAGAUGUGAUCAUGGGGCUGCUUUACUGUCAUCCUAAGGCACAGCCUGAGCCCUCAGAGUUGGCUUUAUGAUCUCUGGAACAGAAGGACUGGAAAAUUAACCCAUUUGAUUUCUGCAUAACUCUUCUGUCUGAAACACUCAUAUGUAGGUUAAUGCACAUACCCAUUAACUCUUCCACUGUCAACUGCUGUUAGUGUAUCUGUUUAACGCCCUGCUGGGAGGGAGAUGAAUGGGCUCCUCCAGAUGCCAUCUUGACGCUGCUUUUUUUUAGUUCAGCCCUGGGGAAUGCAAAUCCUAGAUGGCUCUCCUGGAGCUGUGGGUGGUUGUGCAAACCAUAUACUCUCUUAUCUAGUAUUUUGAACUUAAUGAUAUCUUACUUAUAUUGAGAAUAAUGUCUUUCCAAUAGUAGAUGAAUAUAACUGCUUUCUGUGUUGCAGGUGGGCAAAAUGAGCUACUAAAUGCUUCAUUAGUUUGGGUUGAAGAGACUGGCCACCUGCAAGGAUGUGAUCUGGCUUCUCACUCCUCUGGCUGCCCAUGAGUCCUGAGCCCAAACCAACAGGCCAUUGCUGGGACUAGGUGUGGGCAGACAGAAGAAGAGGAAGCUUCAUGGAAAAGAACCAUGGGACGAGUGAAGAGACAAAGAGGAGCAUUGAUUGGGCACAUGGAUAAUGGGCCUAAAUGGAGGGUGGAGGAUAUAUUUUGUCGUGGACAAGACUGUCUGGAGAAUACAGGUACAGCUUUUUUGGGGAUGCGUUUUGGAGAGGCUGCUCUUUCUUUACACCAAGGUUUAUCGUCAGCGAAUAUUAAAUAAACCACAACAUAUAGUGUGUGAUUUUUAUUGUUUGCCAAGGUAUCUUUUUCUCCACAGAAGACUGCCAGUAACUUGGUCUGCAGUUGUCUGUGCAUAUAUCUUCUGACUGCAUUUCUUUUGUAAUGAUGUGCUGUGUAUGCCAUGCAUGGGUC
rnacentral:lncRNA from 1 species